GCGGAGGAAAAGAAACCAACCGGGAUUGCCUUAGUAACGGCGAGUGAAGCGGCAAAAGCUCAAAUUUGAAAUCUGGUACCUUCGGUGCCCGAGUUGUAAUUUGGAGAGGGCAACUUUGGGGCCGUUCCUUGUCUAUGUUCCUUGGAACAGGACGUCAUAGAGGGUGAGAAUCCCGUGUGGCGAGGAGUGCGGUUCUUUGUAAAGUGCCUUCGAAGAGUCGAGUUGUUUGGGAAUGCAGCUCUAAGUGGGUGGUAAAUUCCAUCUAAAGCUAAAUAUUGGCGAGAGACCGAUAGCGAACAAGUACAGUGAUGGAAAGAUGAAAAGAACUUUGAAAAGAGAGUGAAAAAGUACGUGAAAUUGUUGAAAGGGAAGGGCAUUUGAUCAGACAUGGUGUUUUGUGCCCUCUGCUCCUUGUGGGUAGGGGAAUCUCGCAUUUCACUGGGCCAGCAUCAGUUUUGGU
rnacentral:rRNA from 1 species